AGCAGCAGCAGCUGGUUCUGAAGAAGCUGGUCAUCCCCCUCCUGUCUCGACCCACAACAGACUCUGGCUGUGUGUCCAACUCUAACAGCAGUGUGGACUGGCUGCAGAAGAACUUGGGGCCAUUCUCAGUUCUUGUGUCCCUCAGGGACCUGCUAGAAUUCAACACAGACUUCUCUCCUUUGUCAGCCCUGGAGGUUCUCUCUCCAAAGCAGACUGCAGAGCUGGUGGUGUUGCCUCUUCCUGGUCUUCCAGGGAAAGAUGUCAUCAUCAACACAG